CCUACGGGAGGCUGCAGUGAGGAAUAUUGGUCAAUGGGAGAGAUCCUGAACCAGCCAAGCCGCGUGAGGGAAGACGGCCCUAUGGGUUGUACACCUCUUUUGUCGGAGAACAAAACCCGGGCCGUUUCCCGGACUGCGUGUAUCCGAAGCAAAAGCAUCGGCUAACUCCGUUCCAGCAGCCGCGUUAAUACGGAGGAUGCGAGCGUUAUCCGGAUUUAUUGGGUUUAAAGGGUGCGUAGGAGGUCCGUUAAGUCAGCGGUAAAAUGGCGGGGCUCAACCCAGUCGAGCCGGUGAAACUGGCAGACUUGAGUUGGCGAGAAGUACGCGGAAUGCGCGGUGUAGCGGUGAAAUGCAUAGAUAUCGCGCAGAACUCCGAUUGCGAAGGCAGCGUACCGGCGCCAGACUGACGCUGAGGCACGAAAGCGUGGGGAUCGAACAGGAUUAGAUACCCGGGUAGUC
rnacentral:rRNA from 1 species